GUGAGGAAUAUUGGUCAAUGGGCGGGAGCCUGAACCAGCCAAGUCGCGUGAAGGAAGAAGGAUCUAUGGUUCGUAAACUUCUUUUGCAGGGGAAUAAAGUGCAGGACGUGUCCUGUUUUGUAUGUACCCUGAGAAUAAGGAUCGGCUAACUCCGUGCCAGCAGCCGCGGUAAUACGGAGGAUCCGAGCGUUAUCCGGAUGUAUUGGGUUUAAAGGGUGCGUAGGUGGUUUGAUAAGUCAGCGGUGAAAGUUUGCAGCUUAACUGUAAAAAUGCCGUUGAAACUGUCGGACUUGAGUGUAAAUGAGGUAGGCGGAAUGCGUGGUGUAGCGGUGAAAUGCAUAGAUAUCACGCAGAACUCCGAUUGCGAAGGCAGCUUACUAAGCUACAACUGACACUGAAGCACGAAAGCGUGGGGAUCAAACAGGAUUAGAAACCCUUGUAGUCC
rnacentral:rRNA from 1 species